CUCUACUGUUUUUCUUCAUGAAUCUCAAACUGGUUAAACUUAUAUUGUCCUUAAUGAUUGUCAUUAUGAAAUUUUUUAAAUUUUUCAUCCUCUACACUACGUUAGCUCCUCUUUUUUUUUUUUUCUUUAAUACACGUGUAGCUUGGGCCAGGGAGCCAAGUAUUUUUCUUCAUGGGAGAUAGAUAAUCAUUUUGUUAAAACAGCUACUGAAUUGUAUAAAUUGUCAAACAAAAGUAAUCAUUGUUGGGUUUGUGGGUUUGCUCCGCAUUCCAUGAACUAUGGUUAUCCUUUUGUGGGGGUGCCAUGGUCUAUGGAAUCUUUAUGGGUCUUUGUGAGAAAAUAAGAGCAAAUAAAACGGGGUUUGUUGGAUUUAUUCAGAAUGAAGUAUCCAAAUCUGGCGAACCUGCUAAGGUUCAUUUAACAUAUCCCAUUACUAGCAGAGCAGUAGUAAUUUCUAACAGGGAUCAGAAAAGUCCUGACAAGAUUGUUAAGCCUAUAAGCAAUGCUAUUGUUAUUUUUGAAAACAAUGUCCUUUAUAAUCUAUGUGGGUCUGAAACUAAUUCUGCCCCUUGUACUGGUAGAUUGAAAGCUUUUUGUUGGAAACCCUUAUUAGAAGAUAUUUUAACAAAAUGUCCCAUCAAGGAUAGAAUCCCGGUGAUUACUAAUCAUGUAUGGGUAAAUUUGACUUCUGAGGUAGAAAUCAUGGAUAAUAAUUAUGAUCAGAAUGAACAUUUAAAUGUCACUAUUUUGAGAUGGGCCUACUUUAAUACUCAAACUUUAACUUCCAAUCUUUUUAUGCUACUGCCCUAUAUUAAUCAACCUAUUUUUGACUGCUCAGGUUCUCGUGUUAUUGAUAUCCAUCUUCCAUUUGGGGUAUACUAUUUAUGUGGUAAUUGGGCGGUAAAAAGACUUCCAUGUAAUUGGGUGGAAACUUGUUAUCUAGGUAAUAUUAUCCCAGCGUUAACCCUUCAUGAAAAUUUGCCUGAAGAAAGGGUGAGGAAUAAAAGAAAGGUUAUUAGUUCCAAAAAAGAUAAAACCGAAAGAACUGUAAAAUCUGGUGAAGAAGAUAG